UCUCCUGGAAACGGGUGGUAAUGCCGGAUGCUCCGACUCCUCGCAUGGGGUGUCGGGAAAGAUUUCAUCGGUAUGGGAUGGGGUCGCGUCCUAUCAGGUAGUCGGCGGGGUAACGGCCCACCGAGCCUACGACGGGUAGCCGGCCUGAGAGGGCGACCGGCCACAUUGGGACUGAGAUACGGCCCAGACUCCUACGGGAGGCAGCAGUGGGGAAUAUUGCACAAUGGGCGCAAGCCUGAUGCAGCGACGCCGCGUGCGGGAUGACGGCCUUCGGGUUGUAAACCGCUUUUGAUCGGGAGCAAGCCUUCGGGUGAGUGUACCUUUCGAAUAAGCACCGGCUAACUACGUGCCAGCAGCCGCGGUAAUACGUAGGGUGCAAGCGUUAUCCGGAAUUAUUGGGCGUAAAGGGCUCGUAGGCGGUUCGUCGCGUCCGGUGUGAAAGUCCAUCGCUUAACGGUGGAUCUGCGCCGGGUACGGGCGGGCUGGAGUGCGGUAGGGGAGACUGGAAUUCCCGGUGUAACGGUGGAAUGUGUAGAUAUCGGGAA
rnacentral:rRNA from 1 species